GAUAUAGUCUUCUUCUUUGUUUUUUUUUUUUAGAAAUGUGCGAUUAAUAAUGAAAUAUGUUGUCUUGUAAUGAAAAUAUUGUGUAUUCAUAGUGUACACUUUACUGAAUUAAUUACUUGCCUCGCGUUUAGAAUAUAAUAACACGUACUAUUGUAAAUUGCAAAUUCAUACAAUGGCAUUGCGAAAGUUAAUGCAUCCAAGAAAUAAAUAUAAAAAAAGUCCUAAUUUUAAACAACUUGCUCUUUUGUAUCCAGAAUUUCGCAAAGUUGCAGUUACGGAUCUCACAGGAAAAGUCCAUAUUGACUUUAAAAAUGAAGAAACUUUGCGUAUUCUUACCAAAGUAUUAUUAAAACAUGACUUUGAUCUCACAAUAAAGAUACCACAAAAUAAAUUAGUACCAACUUUACCUUUACGUUUGAAUUAUAUUUUGUGGAUUGAAGAUUUGAUGACACAUGCCUCUUUUACUAAAAUGGAAAAUGUUAAAGGCAUUGAUAUUGGAACAGGAGCAGUUUGUAUAUAUCCUUUAUUGCUGGCAAAAAUAUAUGGAUGUUAUAUGUUUGGAACAGAAGUUGACGACACAAGUAUUGAAUCAGCAAUAGAAAAUGUUAAGAAUAAUAAUCUAGAAAAUUUAAUUCAAGUGAUCAAAGUGGAUAAAAAUAAAAUUCUGAAAGAAACGAUAGAAGAAAAUGAAACUUUUCAUUUUAUAAUGUGUAAUCCUCCAUUUUUUGAAACUGAAGAUACCUCAGAUAAAGUAAUAAAACAACAACCACCGAGAAAUGCUCCUACUGGCAGUAAUAAGGAACUAAGCAUUGAAGGAGGUGAAAAAUUAUUUGUAACAAAAAUGAUUGAAGAGAGUAUACAGAUUGGUGAAAAGAUCAAAAUAUAUACUUCUAUGCUUGGAAAAAAAAAUAGUUUAUUCUACUUUGUCAAAUUAUUAAAGGAACAUAAUAUAAACAAUUUCACAUGGACAGAAUUUUGUCAAGGCCACACAAAACGAUGGGGUUUAGCAUGGUCUUUCUUGUCAAUAGAUGUAUGUGAUUUGACAAAAGCACCUGUUAUAAGAGAAAGCAAUAUCAUGGAUAAGUUUUCAAAAGAUCAUCCCCCUUUGGAAAUAAUAUUUCCCAUGCAAGAUAAAUAUCUACUAAUUGACGAUGUUAUUAUAGAAUUAAAGAAGAUAAUUAACAAUUUACAGAUAAAUAUAAAAGAGUUAGAGUUACAAAAAAAUACGUUGAGUGAUUGGGGAUGUCAACUCACAGCACAAAAUGAUACAUGGUCGCAUGCGCGUAGAAAACGUCGUUUAGCCGAAAGACAAAGUAAAGAUUGUAAAAAAGUAAAUAUAGAAAGUACUCUAGUUACAGAGCAAAUUAAUGUAGAAUCUGAAAUCAGAAAAACACAACAUAUGGAUGUAAAAAAUGAAGAUAUACAGUUUGUUUCUACAAAAGACACAGAAACAUCUGAUCAUAAAGGUCCUUUGUUAAUUUUCAAUUUAUUUCUUAACAUAUUAGAGGAUGAACAAGAUCCUGAAAAAAAAAAUGUAAAGAUUAGUUUAUUUUUCGAAAGUGGAAGUGGUGGGAGAAAUACACUGGAAACAUUGAGACAAUAUUUGAUAAACAAAUUAAAUGUCCGAAUAUAUUUUCAACAAUUCUGUUCUAAAACAAAUAAAAAGAGAAGAAAAAAAUUCAAGAAAGCAAAGAAAGAUCCUUCCUCUAAAUUAAAUAAACUAGGAAAAGAAAAGAAAUUAAAUAUUUCGUCAGCUGAGGACAGUGCAGAUUCAUUUUAGAUUGUAUUAAUUUUGUAUAACAAUGAGAAACAACGUAUUUCACACAAUAAUUUUAUCAACAUAUACAAAAGGCUGCACGGAAAUCACCCAUACAUGAUUGGGUCCUUGCAACAAGAUGAUAGGAUACUGCUACUUUCAAAGAACGCGGACCAUGAUAACGAAGAUUUAAAUCCAGAGCAUGUUCCAAAAAUCUAAGUGAUAAUUCAUACUCUCCAACGGCAUGUAAUAUUAAAGAAAUAUUACUCUAAGAGCUACUUCCGGAUGAUCUUCACCACAAACUAACAAUGCGAGAUAACGUGCUCUGUAUAAUAAUCGUAACGAUACGGAAACUUGACCAUUUGCAAAAGAAUACAAUGCGAGAUGAAUCUAGUAAUGAGAGAGAGAGAGAGAAAGAGAAAAAAAAAGAUAAAUUUCCAACAAUGUUAUGAAUCUAGUAAUGAAGGGGGUGGGGGAAUAAAUAAAUUUCCAACGAUAUUUAAAUAAA